rnacentral:tRNA from 1 species
GAAGGAUUAGUUAACAUUAUAACAUCAGAAUGUCAAACUGAAAUAAUCGUAAAGAUAUCCUUCU